GAAAAAAAACGGAGCUAGAGACGAACGCGGUUAUUAAAAGACAGUUUGCCGCCUGCAUGUAUGCGAGCACGCAGAGUCUUAAGUCUUCAUUUCAACCUUGUGGACCUUGCUGGCAGCACCGACUAUUUUUAUCAUCUAGUCUCAAACUCUCGCAAUACGCGAGCGAGUAAUCUAUCUAUCUUGAGCGGCGUGAAACACGAUUGAAUUAUAGUACUUACAAGCAAGGUCGAUACAUUUACCAAAGGUCGACUUUUGUUCCGUAUGUUGCACAAUAGCAUAAUCUUUGAGAAAUCCUUGUACGUUUUUUUUUGCUUGACAAAUAUGAUAUUUACAGAUGAAUUUAUAUCAAGGAUCUCUUUCAUCUAUAAAUAAGUUUAUUUAACGAUCGAUGGUGGACCUUUUUAAACUUUUUCAAGCCAAUUUACCGAAUUGGCGGAAUAUCACGAUAUUGCCCGUUGUACGUGUAAUAUGAAGAAUAUUACAAGCUAGUGCUAUGCAACAGUUAGAUCAAUGGACAUUGAACACACUGCUCUAACUGGCUUGAUGCUGCUCGGGUACCCUCGAUAAAAAUGCACGAUCGUGAUACGAAUAAUCACAACGUUUUCAAAUACAGCUGUAGUCCGAUCGCGUUUCUGAUGCUAAAUGGGUAAUAUCCGAGCGUUUCCUUGAAUGAAUUCAUAUCCAGCGAUCGAACCGAUUUGCAAUUAUAAUCAAACUCAUACAUUUUGAUUCUCAGCUAGUGAAUUAUAAGAUGCAAUGGUAUUGAUACUAUAGCAAGAAUAAAUAUAAUUGCGAUUAAAGUCUUGUACACAUUUAUUCAACAAUGAAAAAAAAAA